AAGGUGUAGUCAUUGCACGAAUCAAUUUCAAAGUCUAUCAGCAUAACGAAGCAGAUUUAAGAGUAAAUGAUCGGCUUUAUAAAAACCAAUUGAGUAAUUCUUGUCUGUUUUAAAGAAGAAAGCUUCUGAACUGCCCCUUUUUUUUUAAGCAUUCAUUGCACACCCUUUCCAAUGAAGCAUUGAUCAUACCAAAAUUGUAAAUUAAGGAAAAAGAAAAAUAAGAGUAUCAAAAAUAAAGAAGUAGGGUAUAUAAAAGACGGCUCCUACUACAGAAAAAAAGACCACGCGCACAAGUAAAAUAUUGCUUUAUAAAAACCAAGCCACAGUAGCUCAGAGUUCUUGACAGCGCCUUGCGAUUGAAAAAUUCUUGGAAAUUCUAAAUUAAUUUUUGUUUUCCAAUAGCUUUUUUUGUUGUUGCUCAUCAAUACCCAAGAGGUAAAGAGCGUUUUGCAAAGAUGGAAGAUUGAUUUUCGAAUCAGCCUAAUUA